GAUCAUGGCUCAGGACGAACGCUGGCGGCGUGCUUAACACAUGCAAGUCGAACGAGAGGACAAGAGAAGCUUGCUUCUUUUGGAAUCGAGUGGCAAACGGGUGAGUAACACGUAAACAACCUGCCUUCAGGGAUGGGGACAACAGACGGAAACGACUGCUAAUACCGAAUACGCUUGGGAGACCGCAUGAUCUUCCAAGGAAAGGGUGGCCUCUACCUGUAAGCUAUCGCCUGAAGAGGGGUUUGCGU
rnacentral:rRNA from 1 species